rnacentral:rRNA from 1 species
GACGAACGCUGGCGGCGUGCUUAACACAUGCAAGUCGAACGCUGAAGCACCAGCUUGCUGGUGUGGAUGAUUGGCGAACGGGUGAGUAAUACGUGAGGAACCUGCCCUUGACUCUGGGAUAAGCCCUGGAAACUGGGUCUAAUACUCGAUGCUACAUGUCACCGCAUGGUGGUGUGUGGAAAAGGUUGACUGGUCUUUGAUGGGUUCACGGCCUAUCAGCUUUUUGGUGAGAUAAUGGCGAACCAAGGCGACGACGUGACGCCGCACAGUGAAGGUGACCGGCCACACUGGGACUGAGGCACGGCCCAGACUCCGACGGGAGGCAGAAGGGGGGAAUCUUGAACGAGGGGCGAAAGCCGGAUGAAGCGAGGCCGCGUGAGGGAUGACGGUCUUAGGGUUGUAAAACUCUUUCAGCAGGGAAGAAGCACCAAGUGACGGUACCUGCAGAAGAAGCGCCGGCUAACUACGUG